rnacentral:rRNA from 1 species
GAUGAACGCUGGCGGCGUGCCUAAUACAUGCAAGUCGAGCGAACAGACGAGGAGCUUGCUCCUCUGACGUUAGCGGCGGACGGGUGAGUAACACGUGGAUAACCUACCUAUAAGACUGGGAUAACUUCGGGAAACCGGAGCUAAUACCGGAUAAUAUAUUGAACCGCAUGGUUCAAUAGUGAAAGACGGUUUUGCUGUCACUUAUAGAUGGAUCCGCGCCGCAUUAGCUAGUUGGUAAGGUAACGGCUUACCAAGGCGACGAUGCGUAGCCGACCUGAGAGGGUGAUCGGCCACACUGGAACUGAGACACGGUCCAGACUCCUACGGGAGGCAGCAGUAGGGAAUCUUCCGCAAUGGGCGAAAGCCUGACGGAGCAACGCCGCGUGAGUGAUGAAGGUCUUCGGAUCGUAAAUCUCUGUUAUUAGGGAAGAACAAAUGUGUAAGUAACUAUGCACGUCUUGACGGUACCUAAUCAGAGAGCCACGGCUAACUACGUG